ensembl:lncRNA
GCCCUCGGGGAGGCUGAGCUCUGGAAUGCAGAGGAAGAUGUAGAAAGGAAGAAAGGAUGGCGAUCAAGAGAAAGUUUCAGUGGAACCCGCGUCCUCGUCUCAUUUACAACACCAGUAUUUGGAGCUGUGGGGUUGGCGGAACAUGUAUGUUACAUUUUCUAUGAUAAAAUAAUGUUAACCUACAUUUGGUAGCCUUUAGGCUUUUUAUAAGCCAGCAAGGGUGUGGAGUGAACCAUUAGAAACAGUGAUGUGAUUUUUAUUGAGAAGAAACGAGGUGAAAGUGAGGGCUGGCCUCCGACCUCAGCUGUGACUGAGGAUUAGCUUAGCGUGUGUGACGAAGGCCUGUCUUAGAGCGUCCCCAGAGUUUUAGCUCCUGUGACCAUCCCCGAGCGAGGGACUUGACUUGAUAACACGGACAGGCGGUGGCGUUCCUGAGAAACACCAGGGAACAGUUACAUCUUUAGCUCCCCAGGUUCUGCCACGGCGCGUUUUCUGGCCUGAACAUAUCGACCUGAGCCUAAGUGCAGACACUUCAGCCAGCCUCCUGGUUAAGCUAUGUCGUUUUUUUCCUCUUCCGAGUCUCCAGAAGGCCCAGAACAUACUCUGGGGUCAGUGGUUUCGUGGGGGCACUUGAAACAACAUAAACAAUACAGUGAUGGUGAUUAACUCUGUGUGGGAUGUACCGCUUCAGAUGCCUUCACAGAGCAGAGAGGCAGCAGAGCUUUGCUACCAGCACAGACUCCGGAAUCAGACAUCCUGGAUUCAGACACUCUCUGUGUGACCUGGGAGUUCAUUCUGGUUCCUCUAAGCCUUAGCUUUCUCGCCUCUAAAGUGAAAGUCCCGCCACCCACCACAGAGGAACCUGUCACAACGAUUAAACGAGAGAACCCGUGUCUGUUCAUUCAGCAAGUGUUUGUGAACACCUCUGUGCCUGGCCCUGAACAGCCUAGACGAAAACUUCAGACUUGUAGCUGGAGAGACAGACCGUAAGAACUGGCUGUGAGGGGCUGGCCCGGUGGUGUAGUGGCUAAGUUUGCGUGCUCUGGUUUGGCAGCCUGGGGUUCACAGGUUCAGAUCCCUGGCACGGACCUGUGUACCACUUUUCAAGCCACGCUGUGGCAGCAUCCCACAUAAAAUAGAGGAAGAUGGACACAGAUGUUAGCUCAGGGCCAAUCUUCCUCACACACACACACAAAAAACAAAAACUGGCUCGGUGUGUGAAGCAUUAGAUGGUGAUGAGCGCUGGGAAGAAGAUACAGCAGGGAGGGGCAGGGGGCAGAGCCGGGCAGGGGACUCGUGGUGCCACCUGAGCACAGAAGCACAUAUGCUGUGAGGGGAGGGCGGGCGGCCCUCUGGGUGGACAUUCCAGGCAGCGUGGACGCAGUGGUACCAGCCUGAGGAGGCCUUGCGUCUGCCGGGUGAGAGGAAGGGGAAGGAAGCCACUGUGGCCACAAGUGAGUAAGCGAGGCGGGAGGGUGGGACGUGAGGCAGAAAGGUGGGUUUGGGGGCCGAGUCACGCAGGCCCUUUGGGGCCUUUUCACUCGGGGAGAAGGAGGAGGCCAUAUGCGCGUUCUGAGCAGAAGAGUGAUUAAAUCAGACCCAGUUUUUAACAGGGUCAUUCUGAGUGUUGGGUGGAAGCAAAGAGCCCAGUUAGGAGGCCAUUGCUACACUUUAUGUGAGAUGUGAUGGGAACUUGGACCAGGGUGAUGAGGCAGAGGUGGGAGAAGGUAUAGGGUGUGUUUUGAAGGUAAAUCGACAGGAUUUGGAUGCCAGGUGUGAGAGAAAUAGAAAAAGUGCAAUCUCCGGGCCUGAGCAUACGGAAGGAUAGAAUUGCCACUUACUGGGUCAUGACAGACAGUGGGGAGCAAGCUGUCGGGGAAGGUCAGGGGUUUGGGUUCAGACGUUUGUUGAGCAAAUUGCCCAUUAGACACCCGAGUGGGAGUCCAGGAGGCAGUGGGUGAGGUCUGGAGUUCACACAGGGUCCAGGCUGCAGGUGUCUGGGAGUUUGCAUUUCUAACAAGCUCCCUGGGGACGCAGAUGUGGGUGCUGCUGUGUGGAGCCCACGUUUUGAGAAGCACUGGAAUAGGGAAAUACGGUGGGACUGGCAGGCCACCUGAGAGAGGCGCUGAGGUUCCAUGUCCUGCCGUUCUGUCCAGCCGUAGCCAGCUGCUCAGGAUCAGGUCCAGAGCAGGCGCAAGGUUAGAUUGCACCACGAUAGGGGUGAAAUUAUUCCAGGUAAAUAGAGCAAAGGGUUACUCAGCACAGCGUCUAGUACGUGGUACCUGCCCCAAACCUAAGUUACUACCCAGCACCAGCCUGCCCUUAGGAUCCUGCCUCCCAGCGGACAGAGGACCCUCUCCCCGGCUCUGGGCCCCCACACCUGAGUCUGGCUUUAUGACCUUGGGCGAGUUUCUCAGCAUCUCCAAGCUUUCGUCUCUUCAUCUGUAAGAUGACCCACUAACCACCCUGCUUCAUAGAGUUUUGGGGAACUUUACCCGAGAGUCUGCAUGCGAACCGCUCAGUACAAGUCCGUCACACAGGAGCGGCAGACGUCAACAAUCCUCAGAGGCCCGCAGAGGAGGAGGUGCUGGAUGCAAAUGAGCUCUUGGCGUAAAUCUGUCCACCGAAGCCCACAGCCGGCAGAGUCUUCCAGAUUCACGGGAGGCUGCCACCUCACCUCCCAGCUCCGGGAGCUGCUGUCUUUGCUGCGGUCAGGAAGCCGGAAGAACCAGGAAGUCCCCAAGGGAGAAGUGGUCACCUUCCUGACAGUGUUUGCCAGCAGGAGCGUGGGUUCCUCUUCAAACUCGAGUGAUUAGCAAAAUCCAACUCCCAUCCGGAAAUCCAGCUCUAAGGGAGCCCAGGAAGUGUGGUUUAUAACUUUGCUGCUUCUGCAGUGUUACGAAAGCACGUGAAAAGGAGGCUGGAAUGGAUCUCGAGUGCCGCCCACACCAGCCAUGCUUGGUGUUACCAAAAUACCUUCCAAAAUCUACCACAUAUGAAAUUGCCUGAUUUCUCCACAGCAUCACCAAAGCUGUGUGUU